CAGUGACAUCAGAGGGCAGUCUCAGGCAUGUUGAGCAUUUUAUGGGAGUCUCUCUGUAACUCACAGACCGGCAGAGAGGCAGAGGGCGUCAGAUUGUGAUCACAUUCUCAUUUGACUAGACAAACUCUGUGCUUUUAUGAACCACCCCUGCAUUUUCUGUUUUUAAGGCUCAAUGUUCCUCGAUGCGUGUUGUACUUGUUGCACGCACACAUUUCUGGAUCGUCUCCAUGUAAAACCCUCCCACACACCAGCAGCCCAACAGAACAGACAGUUGUUGUGAAGUUGACUUGAUGAUAAUGGCUGCUGCUGCUGCUGCUGCUGCUUGGCCUUGCAAACUGGAACACUUUACAACCACUGAAGACACAGCGUCUCUGUCCACUGCACACACACAGUCGAUGCUGCUUACAGCUACGGCUUGGUGUCCGACCUCAAUACUUUAAGCUGGACGGCAGACUCCAGAUCAGCUCGGAUUGGUUGUUUUCCUCCAGUCUGGGAAAUCUUGCAGAUGCCAUUAGGAGCACCCGGAGGACACCCGGAGGACACCCGGAGGACACCCGGAGGACACCCGGAGGACACCCAGAGGACACCCAGAGUACACAGAGGCACAUGAUUUCUUUCAGAUUACCUGUUUCAUGCACUGCUGUCAGGAUAUAAAUCAUAUUUGCUCCACAACUACCCACUUAAAUGUUGAAUAUAAUGAAUAAUGCUGUGGGAUCAUUCCUAAUCUCAUGGGCUAUUUUGGGAUUUAUACAUUAUUAUUGCAUACUUAUAUA